rnacentral:other from 1 species
AUCUGCCUUGUUCGAGUAAUUAUAGUUUUUAUAAUCCAACACAUUUCUCAAGGGAAUUCAGCUCCGGCUGCGGAUUGCAGACCUCCCGUUUUCGGAAGAAGGGAGCGUGAAACAUCCGGGCGUUUACCCACCUGCUUCGUGCGGGUUUUAUGCACUAUAUGACGGCAAGGCGGACUUU